rnacentral:rRNA from 1 species
UACGUAGGGCGCAAGCGUUGUCCGGAAUUAUUGGGCGUAAAGAGCUCGUAGGCGGCCUGUCGCGUCUGCUGUGAAAUCCCGGGGCUUAACCCCGGGCGUGCAGUGGAUACGGGCUGGCUGGAGGCAGGCAGGGGAGAACGGAAUUCCCGGUGUAGCGGUGAAAUGCGCAGAUAUCAGGAGGAACACCGGUGGCGAAGGCGGUUCUCUGGGCCUGUUCUGACGCUGAGGAGCGAAAGCGUGGGGAGCGAACAGG